GACGAACGCUGGCGGCGUGCUUAACACAUGCAAGUCGAACGGAAAGGCCCUGCUUUUGUGGGGUGCUCGAGUGGCGAACGGGUGAGUAACACGUGAGUAACCUGCCCUUGACUUUGGGAUAACUUCAGGAAACUGGGGCUAAUACCGGAUAGGAGCUCCUGCUGCAUGGUGGGGGUUGGAAAGUUUCGGCGGUUGGGGAUGGGCUCGCGGCUUAUCAGCUUGUUGGUGGGGUAGUGGCUUACCAAGGCUUUGACGAGUAGCCGGCCUGAGAGGGUGACCGGCCACAUUGGGACUGAGAUACGGCCCAGACUCCUACGGGAGGCAGCAGUGGGGAAUAUUGCACAAUGGGCGGAAGUCUGAUGCAGCAACGCCGCGUGCGGGAUGACGGCCUUCGGGUUGUAAACCGCUUUCGCCUGUGACGAAGCGUGAGUGACGGUAAUGGGUAAAGAAGCACCGGCUAACUACGUG
rnacentral:rRNA from 1 species